UAGGCACUUGCCAGUAGCUACUACUUCCUACUUUUUAAGGGGUCCUCAGUUUUCUUCCGUAACAAAGCAAUCGCCAAAAUGUCGGGGGAGGUGUAUAUUCUGUGGCUUCUUUCUCUCAUACAAACGCUUUCGGCCUAUGGAGCCGACCUGUCCUCAGAGGCAUGCAGGGAGCUGGGCUUCUCCAGCAACCUCCUGUGCAGCUCCUGUGACCUGCUGGGAGAGUUCAGCCUGGGCCAGAUCCAGCCUGUCUGUAGACAGUGCUGCCAGCAGGAGGCCCAGAUGGAGUCCAGGAAGCUCUACCCUGGGGCCAUCCUGGAAGUGUGUGGAUGAAAGUUGGGGAGGUUCCCUCAAGUCCAAGCUUUUGUCAGGUCUGACAAGCCGAAGAUGUUCAAGGGUCUUCAAAUUAAGUAUGUGAGAGGCGCAGACCCUAUACUAAAGCUGCUGGACGAUAACGGGAACAUCGCUGAAGAACUCAGCAUCCUCAAGUGGAACACGGAUAGCGUGGAGGAAUUCCUGAGUGAGAAGUUGGAAGUAUAUAAUACGGAUUCAUAGUGCAUCAUAACCUUUUUCCCUGCUACAAAUCUGUACACCAUUUGGAUUUGAUUUUCUAAUUGUAUGUUGAAGUACUGCACUGUUAAAAAAAUAUUUUUUUUACCUGAAAAUCAAUCUGUAGUUUUUCCUAAUUACAUUUUGUGCCAGGAUGUAAAAUGGCUGUUUUGUAGAUUUGUGAACAUAUCAAAAUACUGAAACUUACAUGCAAAAUACCUGCUGUUAACUUUUAAAUGAUUGGAAUGAAUUAUCCAAAGAGAGUGUAAAGAUUUUCAGUGCUUGUUACAUUUUAUUUUUGAAUGUUUUUUUUCCUCCUCCCGUCUGUCAGUUGUCCCUGUGUAGUUUUUUAAAUAUUGCUAAUGGUGUCAGCAGGAGGAUCUUAGGGUGGGGGAUCUAAGUGUCUCACCUCAUGAGAAUGUUCUGGGGAGGCACGCAUUAAUGAAGGCCUCACAGUAAACCACAGUUUGGGAUGUGAGACCUGAUGGCCCUGUGUGUCUCUCUGGGCGUCUUGCUGUGGAGAGGGACUGGAUUCCCCAGUGUGUGAAUGAGUAUGGGGAGGAGGAAAAACGCUGCAAUUAAUAAAAUGUCUUUCACGGUA